rnacentral:rRNA from 1 species
UAGGGAAUAUUGCGCAAUGGGCGAAAGCCUGACGCAGCGACGCCGCGUGAGUGAUGAAGGCCUUCGGGUCGUAAAGCUCUGUCGGACGGGAAAGAACACCUUUAAGGUAAAUAAUCUUAGAGGCUGACGGUACCCGUUCAGAAAGCACCGGCUAACCCUGUGCCAGCAGCCGCGGUAAUACAGGGGGUGCAAGCGUUGUUCGGAAUUAUUGGUCGUAAAGGGCGUGUAGGCGGGAUGGUGUGUCAGAUGUGAAAUACCUGGGCUCAACCCAGGAAUUGCAUUUGAAACUAUCAUUCUUGAGUACGGGAGAGGAAAGUGGAAUUCCCAGUGUAGAGGUGAAAUUCGUAGAUAUUGGGAGGAACACCGGUGGCGAAGGCGACUUUCUGGACCGAUACUGACGCUGAAACGCGAAAGCGUGGGUAGCAAACAGG